rnacentral:lncRNA from 1 species
AGCAUGUUCCUCCUGGUCUUGAACUGCCUUUGUAUUUCUGCAAGGAAAAGGGAAACAGAUAUUCCCCCAGCCCUUUGCUGUAGUCUCCAGGAAGGGAAAGGCUUCCUGCCAGGUGCCAGGCAGUCUCAAGCAGGCCUAAAUUCAGGGCAUAAUCAUCCAAACCCCACUCCAUGGCUUUGAACCUUCUCUCCCCAUUCUCUGAGCUCUGGUGUGGCUGCCUUGCCAUUCCCUCAGCCUAAAUGCUCUUCCAAACCCAUCCCCAACACAGCUCCACUUUUCUUAUGGCCUGAGCCUUCUCCUAAAGGCUUUCCUGGGUGCCCCCAACUACAUCCUGCAUCUUACCCUGUCCACUGUCACUUCCCUAAUAUUCUCGUUACAUUACUGAACUGAUCACCCGGUAAAUGCUUCUGAUUUACUAGAUUCUCUGUCACCUCAAUUUCUGGGAAUUCCAGAAGAGCAUGGAGUCUGUCAGCUCCAGCACCCAAAUCAAUUUCUGAUCCAUAGGUGGGUGACGAACACCUGCAGUCAGCUCCUUCUACACGUGGGUUCAGCACCCACAGAUUCAACCAACUGUGGACGGAAAACUUUUGUUUUUGUUUUUGUUUUUUUUAAUCAAAUCUGUACUGAACAUACACAGACUCUUUUCCUUGUCAUUGUUCCCUAAACAAUCCAGGAUAAUAAAAAU